rnacentral:lncRNA from 1 species
CAUGCAUGUCAUACCAAGAAUUCUUUCCAACUUUCCACAUCCCAUAAAUUUUAAAAAAUUAACAUCUCAAUCUUUGAGAUGUGUGCUGCCACACACAUCAGAAUCCCAAGGCAGAAGGACUCUUCCUUCUCCUCAUGCUAAAACGUGCACACCCAUAUCUUUUUGUUGAGAAUUAUGUUCCAAAAUCAAUCGUUAGUCUGU